rnacentral:tRNA from 1 species
GUGGCUGUGGCUCAAUGGUAGAGUGCUUGCCUUGCAUGUAUGAGGCACUGGGUUCAAUUCUCAGCAUCCCG